UACGUAGGGUGCGAGCGUUAAUCGGAAUUACUGGGCGUAAAGCGUGCGCAGGCUGUUUUGUAAGUCAGAUGUGAAAUCCCUGAGCUCAACUUAGGAACUGCGUUUGAAACUACAAGACUAGAAUAUGUCAGAGGGGGGUAGAAUUCCACGUGUAGCAGUGAAAUGCGUAGAGAUCAAGAGGAACACUCGUGGCGAAAGCGAGCUACUGGACAAUUCCUGACGCUGAGGCUCGAAGGCUAGGGUAGCGAAAGGG
rnacentral:rRNA from 1 species